UAUAGCAAAAGCAAGAUUGGGAGGAAAAAAAGAACAAAAAAGAAAAGAGAGUCAGGGAUUUUACUAUGUAAAAUUGAGUUAGUUGAGAACCAAUCAAUAGAAAAGUUUAAGUAAGAGUUAGUUCAUUUCAGGGA